rnacentral:rRNA from 1 species
GAUUUUGAAGAGAUAUUAGUUACACAUGAGAAGGAAGGUGGCAACAUCAUACCAUUAUACUUGAUGCAAGACUUCAGAGAUUGCAUAGAGUGUGGUUUACAUGAAGUUAUGUACAUUGUCGACCCAUUCACAUGGAGUCGGGGGACGAUACAGGAGCGCCUGGAUAGAGCUCUAUGUAAUGAGAAGUGGUCUAAAAUUUUUCCCUAUGCAGUUGUGGUACAUGAGCAUCAUACCCAUUCAGAUCAUCGACCCCCAUUGUUGGUUACAGACUAUUAUGCAGCAACGCUAUCACAGAAACCGAAAGGAGAGAGGAGGUUCAAAGCGCGGUGGCUAAAUGAAGAUACAGUGAAUGAAAUUGUUGCCAUGGCCUGGCAACGCGCCUAG